CGGCCGGCGCGCAUGCGCACCCUUCCGUAACGGGGUGCGCAGGGACCGUAUCGGGAGCGUGUGCGUCAUACAGGCUGAUCUUCGUAACGCUCAAAACGUUCACGAUGAUAAUGUUGAUAAUAACGUAAUAAUAUUAUUAUUACUAUACAGCGUGCAAGCGAUUUCGUUUAAAUCACGGUAGCAACAUCAUAUCGUAGGUGUUGGAUAGCGGAGCAGUAGCUGCAGUAAAAAUAGCAAUGGCAAUAUUUUGAAUUUAAUGAUCUGGUGGUUUAACCGCAAACGCGUACACAGUUACUUUCUCAGUUCUCUCUCCAUUAUCCACAAUGUACAUAAUAAGAAAGUUUUUUCUAGCCACCUGCUCAAGCCAAGUCUGCAAUCUGUCUGCGAGAACUCACGAUCGUUGUCUCUAUACGUAGAUAGAAAAAUAUAUUGCACAAGUCCUUAACACUCGUAUGAUGUUGUUGUGAUGUUAAAAUGACAACACGUCAAGUUCUCCACAGAAAAUUAACAGAGCACACACCGUAACAACCAUAAUAAACGUCAAUGCCUAUGCAAUAGUUGUGUUAUAAUAUAUGAUAAUAUGUGUUAUGUUACGAAGAAGAGAAAGACGGUUCUAUAUUGCAAUAUUGCAGAUAAUUCGCAUUGAAGGGGCUCGUUAGCAGCAUAUUUUGUGGUAAAAACUGCGAACACAAAACUGAUAUUUAUCAGUUAUUAUGUAAAGAAAAAAUGGAACAUCGAAAUGAAUGUAAUGAAAGAGAUAAUAUAUGAUGAAAACUGAAGAGCCUAUUUUAUUUGAGAGUAACUACUAACUAUUGCCAAGAAAAUCUAAAUUUUAACCAUAUUUUAAAUCAUCGUAAUGAAUAGUAUCUGACUGUAUUGUAAUAAGAAAUUGUGUUUUGGCGUUGUCUAUUGAAAAUUUAAUUAAAUAAAGACAAUCAAUCAUACAUUUAUGAUUUAUCUUAGUUUUAUUAUCUGUUAUUACUAAAACUGGCAUUUUUAUGUAAAGGCAUCUUUUUUUUGGUGUUUCGAAACGUUGGUUCUUAUGUAUAAAAUGUGUUUUGGGUAGUACUGAUUAUUUUAAAAUUAUUUUUUUUGCAUUUUCUUAUAUUUUUUGACAAAAUUAACUUUAAGUGCAUUUUCUUAAUUUUUAGAACAUUUUUCAUAAUUUGUUCAUAAAAUAUACGAAAAUUGAUGUGAUUAACAAGAGACUUUUGACAAACUGUUUACAGUACGAGUAAUGAAUUAUAUAGAACGACAAGUUAUCAUCGAUAAUAAUUUUAUCAUAGUAAUGCCUCGAUAAGUAGGUAAUAAGUAUUACUAAUUAUAUGCAGUGAAGACGAACUCGGGAAUACCAAUAGAUGUAAAUUUCCAAAAAGUUGUAUUUAAUUGCUGCAACCGCGUACUUUGUCUUUUAUUGUAUGGUUGAAGAACCCGCAAGUCUCGGUAAUCACAUUUAACUAUCUAAGAUCGAAAUAUACAUUGCAAUCGUUAAUGAUUAAUAAAGAGUAAUUAUUAUGUAAUAAAGACAAUGUUAUUAUGAAAUGAAUAUUAUGAGCUCCAGUAAUUUAAUGGUCUCUUCGAAUCUAAGAAAAGGAGGUUAUAAUGGUUUUACGAAAAUUAUUGAUGACGAAAUAUUCAAAAUCCUUGGAUCUGAGCAUCAAUCAUCUGUAAGUAUUUACUAUUUUACUUAGUUUUGCUUGUAAAAAAAAUAUAAUAGCAAGUAUCGUUAUUCGUUAGUUAAAAUUGAAUCAUUACAUAACCCCGUAAGAUGUUUAUUACUUCUCCGCUCAUCUAAACUUAAAAUACCUAUAAUAGUUGCAACUACCUACUAGUUCAAACUUCGAUUUUUAUACGUGGUAAUACUCAGC